AGUGGAAGCUAAGCAAUUGGACAAAGCCAUCUAAACCCAAAGCAAUGGCUCGAUGGAGUUCACCAGGGAGGAUCUUGCUCUGAUCUAAAUAUACAGUGGAAAUCUGAUGUGAUCUAGGCUGCUGCACCUCAUCUACUAAAACCAAAUCCUGGAAAAGAUUUCUAUGAGAUGGUUUCUGUCAUUCUUCCUAAACUGGGAGCUAAGUGAUUAAUAUAGAGGAAAACUCACAGAUAAACAUAUCUCUGCAAAUGCAAAUAAGUACUAAAGUGCUGGUAACCAACAUCCCCACCCUGGUUCCUCUUAGCACUUCAGUCAAAGGCACACUUCGAACAGAAGAAUCUGAACCACAAAUUUAGCCAGUCUCUACUACCUUCAGAAAGGCUUCCAGAAGUCAUUUUCCUCCCAGACCUCCUAGAUUUCUAAUUUCUCUAUUCCUGCUAGGAGGGACACUACUACCCAAUCUAGGAGUAUCUUGGAAGAUUCAAGUGGGAAACCAUUCAGAUCUGUCUCUUCCCCUCAUCGCAUCAACAUUUUAAUCUGUCUCUACACAACGCAGGAUUCACAAGGGAAGUCUCAAAUCCCAUAGCGUUGCUUACAAGCAGCGUGACAACAAGGAUGAAGCCAGAGAGGCACCUAUGGUACAAAAUUUUAAAAGCAUGAAUUUCCCUCAACCUUAAGAAGAGAUGGAAUGUUCAUAAUGAGGAAGAAGUCUUCUGAUUUUCUAAAUAGGUAAUCACAACACAGAAGAGUGAAGAAGGACACAGGCUCUUAGCCACCAUGGCCUAAAACUGUCCCACACCUCUUCAACUCACAUCCUACUGUCCACAACCAGUCAUCAGUCAUGUGCAACGUUCACACAUAAAAGCCCUGGAAAAUGAAGGCCAGUGAUUUGCCUAGGAAAAGUAACCAGAAUAUAAUAUGACAAUGCACGAAGGAGGUGCCCAGGAAAUACUGUGGCAUGAAAGAAGGAAGGAAGGAAGACAUUCAUACGUCCCUUGUAUAGACAUUGGCAUGCACACUACAUAUAUAAUCGAAUUCUUCUCAAAUUUGUCUUGAUUAGACACAGUUCCUCUCAAUAGAAGAUAAUGCAAUGCAUCAAUUCCAUCCUCAACUAUCUGGAAUCCCUUGCCAUAUAAAGGAUGCUCUAUUGCUGCAAAAAGCCUCAUUUAGUCUUCAUGAUAUUCUGUGGCAGUGGUGUUAUUACUUAUCCUGGAGAUGAGGAAAGUUACAAACAGGACAUGAACUGAGAUUUUCUAUCUCUAAAUCUCUUGCUCUUUCCUCCAAACUAAAUUCUUAGCUUCUCAGUAUCUGUGGUACUGAAAUAAAAGAAAUACAAAUGUUGGUUGUACACUAA
ensembl:lncRNA LINC01661 long intergenic non-protein coding RNA 1661